rnacentral:rRNA from 1 species
ACAGAACUAGCUUGCUAGUUGCUGACGAGUGGCGGACGGGUGAGUAAUAUAUAGGGAUCUGCCUAAUAGUGGGGGACAACGUGUGGAAACGCACGCUAAUACCGCAUACAGCUCUACGGAGGAAAGUGGGGGAUCUUCGGACCUCAUGCUAUUAGAUGAACCUAUAUCGGAUUAGCUUGUUGGUGAGGUAAUGGCUCACCAAGGCGACGAUCCGUAGCUGGUUUGAGAGAAUGAUCAGCCACACUGGGACUGAGACACGGCCCAGACUCCUACGGGAGGCAGCAGUGGGGAAUAUCGCACAAUGGACGAAAGUCUGAUGCAGCAAUGCCGCGUGUGUGAAGAAGGCCUUCGGGUUGUAAAGCACUUUCAGAUGUGAGGAAAAGCAGUCUAUUAAUACUAGAUUGCCGUGACGUUAACAUCAGAAGAAGGACCGGCUAACUCCGUGCCAGCAGCCGCGGUAAUACGGAGGGUCCAAGCGUUAAUCGGAAUUACUGGGCGUAAAGCGCGCGUAGGCGGAUAUUUAAGUCAGAUGUGAAAUCCCUGGGCUCAACCUAGGAACUGCAUUUGAAACUGGAUAUCUAGAGUUAUGGUAGAGGUGAGUGGAAUUUCAGGUGUAGCGGUGAAAUGCGUAGAGAUCUGAAGGAACAUCAGUGGCGAAGGCGACUCACUGGGCCAUUACUGACGCUGAGGUGCGAAAGCGUGGGUAGCAAACAGGAUUAGAUACCCUGGUAGUCCACGCCCUAAACGAUGUCAACUAGGUGUGUGAGAGUCUAACUCUUGCGUAUCGAAGCUAACGCGAUAAGUUG